GACGAACGCUGGCGGCGUGCUUAACACAUGCAAGUCGAACGCUGAAGCUCAGCUUUUGUUGGGUGGAUGAGUGGCGAACGGGUGAGUAACGCGUGAGUAACCUGCCUCCUUCUUUGGGAUAACGCCCGGAAACGGGUGCUAAUACUGGAUAUUCACUGGUCUUCGCAUGGGGGUUGGUGGAAAGGGUUUUUCUGGUGGGGGAUGGGCUCGCGGCCUAUCAGCUUGUUGGUGGGGUGAUGGCCUACCAAGGCUUUGACGGGUAGCCGGCCUGAGAGGGUGACCGGUCACAUUGGGACUGAGAUACGGCCCAGACUCCUACGGGAGGCAGCAGUGGGGAAUAUUGCACAAUGGGCGCAAGCCUGAUGCAGCGACGCCGCGUGAGGGAUGGAGGCCUUCGGGUUGUGAACCUCUUUCGCUCAUGGUCAAGCCGCAACAAUGGUUGUGGUGAGGGUAGUGGGUAAAGAAGCGCCGGCUAACUACGUG
rnacentral:rRNA from 1 species